UAAGUGGCAUACCGCUUAUUAUACAAGAGGAUGUGGUUGAAACAGUCUGCCCCAGGAACAACCAAUAAGAAGGUGACUACACUUGUCAACACAAGCAACAAAGGCCCAUCUGGUAAAAAGAAAGGGAGGUCAAAGAAAGCCCAUGUACUAGCUGCCUCUGUAGAGCAAGCCACUCAGAAUUUCCUGGAAAAGGGUGAACAGAUCGCUAAGGAGAGUCAAGAUCUCAAAGAAGAGUUGGUGGCUGCUGUAGAGGAUGUGCGCAAACAAGGUUGGCCGACUCGUGUAUGUGAGACCUGCUUGGGCUCCAGCUGCGGUUAAACAUGUCUGUGGGACCAGUAGCCCGACUUUCCAAUCAGAGCUUUGUUGCUGUGACUGCUGCUGUGG
rnacentral:sRNA from 1 species